rnacentral:rRNA from 1 species
AUUGAACGCUGGCGGCAGGCCUAACACAUGCAAGUCGAGCGAGCGGCAGACGGGUGAGUAAUGUCUGGGAAACUGCCUGAUGGAGGGGGAUAACUACUGGAAACGGUAGCUAAUACCGCAUACCAUCAGAUGUGCCCAGAUGGGAUUAGCUAGGAGGUGGGGUAACGGCUCACCUAGGCGAAGAUCCCUAGCUGGUCUGAGAGGAUGACCAGCCACACUGGAACUGAGCCCGGGUCCAGACUCCUACGUGGGGCAGCAGUGGGGAAUAUUGCACAAUGGGGGCAAGCCUGAUCCAGCCAUGCCGCGUGGGUGAAGAAGGCCUUCGGGUUUUAAAGCACUUUCAGCGGGGAGGCGUUACCCGCAGAAGAAGCACCGGCGAACUCCGUGCCAGCAGCCGCGGUAAUAC